rnacentral:tRNA from 1 species
GUGGUCGUGGCGGAGUGGUUAUCGGGCAUGAGUAGAAAUCAUAUGGGCUUUGCCCGCGCAGGUUCGAAUUCUGCCGACCACG